ensembl:lncRNA
CCAUCACUGACUACUACAGAGAUAGUAGAGGUGAGAAGACACCAUCACUGACUACUACAGAGAUAGUAGAGGUAAGAACACACCAUCACUGACUACUACAGAGAUAGUAGAGGUAAGAACACACCAUCACUGACUACUACAGAGAUAGUAGAGGUAAGAACACACCAUCACUGACUACUACAGAGAUAGUAGAGGUGAGAAGACACCAUCACUGACUACUACAGAGAUAGUAGAGGUGAGAAGACACCAUCACUGACUACUACAGAGAUAGUAGAGGUGAGAACACACCAUCACUGACUACUGCUGUACAGAGAUAGUAGAGGUAAGAACAUACCAUCACUGACUACUACAGAGAUAGUAGAGGUGAGAAGACACCAUCACUGACUACUACAGAGAUAGUAGAGGUGAGAAGACACCAUCACUGACUACUACAGAGAUAGUAGAGGUAAGAACAUACCAUCACUGACUACUACAGAGAUAGUAGAGGUGAGAAGACACCAUCACUG